AACGUAGGAGGCAAGCGUUAUCCGGAGUAACUGGGCGUAAAGGGCGAGUAGGUGGUUGCGUAAGUUGGUUAUGAAAGCUCCUGGCUAAACUGGGAGAGGUUGACCAAGACUGCGCGACUUGAGUGGAGAAGAGGUAAACGGAAUUCCGCGUGUAGUGGUGAAAUGCGUAGAGAUGCGGAAGAACACCAGUGGCGAAGGCGGUUCUCUGGGACGGUACUGACGCUGAGACGCGAAAGCGUGGGGAGCGAACAGG
rnacentral:rRNA from 1 species